rnacentral:lncRNA from 1 species
AACAUUAAAAUCAGAUUUAAUAGUCUGAGUGUUUUAUCACAUGGGUUUAAUCAUGAUCUAUUCCUGUCUCUUUUCUUGAUACUUUGGAUGUCCGGUCUGCAGAUGUUGGAGUAGUUUUGUCACUUCUGUUGCGUUUUCGAUCAAUCGGAGUGUUUGAUACGGUGAAGUUUGUAUUUGGGCUAUUUAGAAACUCACAAAGUUUACUGUUAAUUCUUUGUGCGCCUUCUGUGCUGACGUGUACCCCGCUACUGUCAUUUUUAUCAAACAAUGUUCUGAUUACAGCUCCGUGUUUAUAAAAUUGAUCAUUUAUAUCAACAAAUGCUACAGAUUGUUCUCGAACACAAAGUUUUUUCAUGAAACUAUUUA